rnacentral:rRNA from 1 species
GUUUCCCCGAUGGGCUAACCCUCGGUGGCGUGGGGGAGGUGUUUAAUAAGGGGGAAAACGCCCCGAAAAUAACUUUAAAAAAGGGUUUCCCUUUUUUUGUAAGAAGUGUUAUUUUAGAAAUAAAAUUAUUAAUUUAAUUUUAUCCUUGCCCCUUAUCCUAUAGUUGUCUCCCACAUUUUAGGUAGUUUUUAAUUAUAUAUUUUUAUUUUAGUAUAAAAAAUAAUAAUUUUUGCAUUAAAAAAACACUUAUAUUAAGCUAUUUAGUAUCUGUUAACCCAUUUAAGUAACAUCUCAAAAGUCAUAGCAAGGUAGCUUGUACUGGG